rnacentral:rRNA from 1 species
UACAGAGGUCCCAAGCGUUGUUCGGAUUCACUGGGCGUAAAGGGUGCGUAGGCGGUCGGGUAAGUCUGAUGUGAAAUCUCACAGCUUAACUGUGAAACUGCAUUGGAUACUAUUCGGCUUGAGAGUUGGAGGGGGGACUGGAAUUCUCGGUGUAGCAGUGAAAUGCGUGGAUAUCGAGAGGAACACGCGUGGCGAAGGCGAGUCACUGGACAACAUCUGACGCUGAGGCUCGAAGGCUAGGGGAGCAAAAGGG